GGAUAAUGAUGCCAUUGCCACAUUUUCUCUAAAUGAAUUUUUUAAGAAUGGAAGUCACGUUAUCAAAAGAUUUUAUGUGGGCCUUUAAAAAAAUGCACAAAGGAUUUAAGGUUAAUUUGAAGAAAUGAAAGAAAAUAUAGUUGAUGCCUACACAGAUGAAUAAUGAAGAAAGUCUUUGUGAAUCAAACAAUCCACCUUGGAAAGAACUGGAUAAACUAUAAUUGCAAGAGAGUUGGGUUAAAGUCACAGCCUACAAAGAAAGACAUGAGUUGCAUUGUCCCAUUUCCCCACUCCAACACAUGUUUGAGGAAUUACAGACAUGCUGAAGAAGGCUUUGGACUUUGAAGGAAUAUGGAUUUGGGAUAAAGAGGAGGUAAAUGAAACCUUCAAGGGAACAGCUAACCAGCCAACGCUGAGGUAACAUCUUUCUGGAGUUGAAGUCAUCGCCUUACACUGGUUUGUUUUUCCAGUGAGAGUUCACAUUUGUUAAAAUAUAGCAUGAAAUGCAGUUGUAAGGGGGACCUUCCCCUGCCCUCAGUUGCUCACACCUUCUAGUGUCAGUUCCUUCUGGGAUUUGGAGCAAAACUGAGCACUGUGGCAAAUCUAAAAAUAAUCAGUCCAUUAGGAUCAAAUUGCUUUCUUGAAUACAGCAAGGUGCUCCUUCUGCCUCCCCCAAUCCCAGUCAUCCUCCACAUUCUUUUCCACCUCACCUGAAGAUGUAUUAUGUUCAAAAUACAAUGGGAACUUCAUUGACUUACUGCUCUCCCCCCAAAGACUGAGGUUGUAAAUCAUAAUUGCAUGUAAAAAUU
rnacentral:lncRNA from 1 species